GUGCCAGCAGCCGCGGUAAGACGAACUGUCCUAACGUUGUUCGGAAUCACUGGGCUUAAAGGGCGCGUAGGCGGUCCGACAAGUCAGGGGUGAAAUCCUGCAGCUUAACUGCAGAAGUGCCUUUGAUACUGUCGGUCUUGAGGGAGAUAGGGGUGUGCGGAACUCACAGUGGAGCGGUGAAAUGCGUUGAUAUUGUGAGGAACGCCGGAGGCGAAAGCGGCGCACUGGAUCUCUUCUGACGCUGAGGCGCGAAAGCUAGGGGAGCAAACGGGAUUAGAUACCCCAGUAGUCC
rnacentral:rRNA from 1 species